AAGAUGCAUUUGAUGAAAACAUAGUUCAGCUGACCUUCUGUGAAGAAGAAGUCUUUCGCUCCUAUCUGAUGCAUCUU
rnacentral:snoRNA from 1 species